rnacentral:rRNA from 1 species
GACGAACGCUGGCGGCGUGCUUAACACAUGCAAGUCGAGCGGUAAGGCCCUUUCGGGGGUACGACGAGCGGCGAACGGGUGAGUAACACGUGGGUGACCUGCCCUCAGCUCUGGGAUAAGCCUGGGAAACCGGGUCUAAUACUGGAUAUGACUCCAUGACGCAUGUUGUGGGGUGGAAAGCCUUGUGCGGCUGAGGAUGGGCCCGCGGCCUAUCAGCUUGUUGGUGGGGUGAUGGCCUACCAAGGCGACGACGGGUAGCCGGCCUGAGAGGGCGACCGGCCACACUGGGACUGAGACACGGCCCAGACUCCUACGGGAGGCAGCAGUGGGGAAUCUUGCGCAAUGGGCGAAAGCCUGACGCAGCGACGCCGCGUGAGGGAUGACGGCCUCGGU